AAAAAAAAAAUGUAGACUGGAUAUGAUGAGGUCCAUACAGACUGAAUGAUUGUCUUGGGCUUUAGAGAGUUAGUGAUGACUCCCAGGCCAGCUCUCUUUCCACUAAACCACAAACUGAGGUAGUUUGUAAUUGAAAGUCUAAAAUAGUUUUCCUUUCAGAAGCCCUUGAAUCUUCUAAAAUGCAAACAUAGAAAGUCUAAGAAAUGAACUUUAACUCAAACUGUGGCCAGUCACACAUUUCAGGUCGUCCUUCCCCGCCUGUGUCCUCCAUCCUGACUGGCUCGCCUCGCCCUCCUCCCAUGCUCUCUCCCUCAUGGCUGCCAGGACAUCAGCCUCCGUGGGACCCCUUAUGGGAAACACAGGCUUGUUUCGUCUCUUCUCCUCACCCCCAAAGAGAAUUGAAACAGGUCCAUCAUUUCUAUCCUCUGAAUUCAGAAUAUAUUGGUAGAUUUGAAAGAACACAGAAAAAUUAGAAAAAAAAAAUAGCUCUAAUCACCACAGAAGAGAUGCUGGUUAUCAGCUGGGCCAACCCCUUCAUUUUACAGAUGCAAAGGCAGAGGUCCAAAGAGAGGAGGGAAAACAAUUUGCUCAAAGCAAAUGCAUUAUGUCCCAGGCUGAACUCUUCAUUUUCCCUCUCAAAGCUCCCAUUGCCUCAGUAAACAGUGUCACUUCAGCCACAUGCUUCAGCCAGAGGCCCAAGAGUUAGCCUUGAGACCACCACCCACCACGUUCAAGCCACCAGAACAUAACUUGGCUCUCCUUUCUCAAUGUAGUCCAGGUAGGCCUCCUCAUACCCUGCAGGUCAGCCCACCCCAGGGCAGGUCAUGCCUCUCUCUUCCAGACUGCUGCAGACCUACUCUUGCCACCCCACCCCAACCCAUUCCUCCCCACAGAAAAGCAACGAUGGCCCCUGCAACCUGCAAACCCAAUCAUGCUUAUUUUCCCUGCUCUCAUCCUCCCAAUAGCUUCUUAUCACUCUUAGAAAAAAUGUGGAACUCCCCACCAAGGCCCACAAGGACUAUGUGAUCUGACUUGGGCCAUUCUCUCUUUCCUUGCCACCUACCACACUCCUUCAGCCUGUUCCAACCAUACCACACUGGCUUUCUUGCUUUGCUUCAAACACCCAAGCUCCGUCCUGCCCAGGGCCUGUUUCCCCCUUUGCUCAGAAACCCAUGCCCCAUAUGCUGACAUGUCCCAACCCUCCCCGACCAGCCUAACACAGCUGGCCCCUCAGCACUCUGCCCCGCACCAUACUUCACUCUCCCCAUAGUGGUUUGCCGGUUCCCCUAUUAGAAUAUAAACUCUAUGCAGGGGAAGAGCUUGUCUUGUUCACUGUUGUAUUAUAUCUCCUGCACUUGGAACAAUGCUCAGUGGGUAAGAACUCAAUGAAUAGUUGUUAAAUAGAUAAUUGCAUGAAGGAAUGGAUGAAUAAAUGAUUUUGUUCCAUAACAUGUUUCUGCUUUGUGGCAGGGCUUGGAUUUGAACCCAGGUCUUCUAGUUUUCAGGCCAGGCUCUUUCCUCUACAAAAUAACAUUUUGAGAGUUUGAAGAAUCCCACAUCUUUAGUUUUAGGGACAGAAAAAUUGCCUGUGGCUCCAGAAGCCUGUUUUCCCAGAAGGGCCUGGCUCUCCUCACUGUGCAGAGCACAGCUUGAUGCAGCAGAGCUUGAGAAUGCACACUCAUGCUGCAGAGGGGCCAGCCUGGCAGCUCAUCACGGCAGCCGCUGACAACUGUGGGCACUGGUGCAUACUUUAUAGCAGGUGUUUGCUGGACAUGCUUAGCUUAACUGAGCUCCAACGUGCAACAUGUAGACUGUGUGAGCAACACACACACACACACACACACACACAACACACACUGCAUUUAAACAAAGCACAUCAGAAAAGAGUUCAGGCUUUCACCCUCCCUUCCUGCCAAGCACGGAGACAAACAGUAGUGGUCUUGGUUCUCUUUGUCUCUGAGUCUAGACCAUUCAUUUCCUCUCAUUCAACCAGCUUUAUUUUUGGCGGUGUAACUUGCUUUCUUGAGCAUGUAUCUUAUGUUCUCAGACUUUGUAACCUAUGAAUCUCCUGUGAGGACCGACCUACCAAUGCUCAGAAUACAAAGGCCGGAGUGAGCAGUGCCCUCUGUGAGACAGAAUGUUACUGCAAAUGAAAAAACCACCUUCACCACCUGAGCAGGAUUCUUGCUUCUAAUGCAAAAUGUAACCUGUCUCUAUAGGAGGGAUAGAGGGAUAUUAGGUUGAGCACUCCACACACUGGGGUGCUUACUACAGAGCACCCCAAAGUGUGGUUUAGGUCUGAGGGACCCGGUGAGCAAGGAAGGCUGCACCGGUGUAGGGACAGGCACAGUCUGGGUCCUUUGGUGGCCGGGUGUACAAAGGAAGCAGAGCCUGGGCUCCCGUCGUCUCCUGCUGUCACAGCCCCUCCAUGGGGGCGCUGGCCCCUCUCUCCCCCUCUCUCCUGCCUCUUUCCAGGAUAUUCUCCUUUGCCCCACAGUGAGAUGUGAGGGGCGUCAGGAAGACUCUCUGCCAUUGACUCUCUCUGUCCAGGGGCUGCCAUAUGUGACUUCUGCUGUCUGUGACCAGGACGCGGGCUCUUGAAGGAGCAGGGAGGAGCAAGAGAGAGGGGAGAGGACGCCCCGGCUUGCGCGGGGCUGAGGCUGGAGGGAAAGAUGCACAGGGACUAGGGUCUAACGGGAAGGCCGCCUUGCGCUCCGCGGCUCGGAAGCGGCAGGGGGCGCCCGCGGCUCCUCGCGGCGCCGAGCCGGGAAGGGCUGGGGAAAUUCCUCCCGCUUGAAGGCAGAGCCCGCCCCAGAGAGCAGACUGGGACACUGCGGUUUCCGAGAUCCGCAGCCCCGCCGCCUCCGCCCACGCCAGCCCUCGGGAGGCGGAGGACGCGCUGACGGCGGCCUCCACAGGCGCUCUGCAGCCUGGGGGUAACCCUCAGCCCACCCAGUGCCCAGCGAGGGGACUCUGAUCCACAGGCUCCGCCCAGCUCCUUGGGUCCUCUUUUCAAGUAUCUGAGCUGGGAACAUCAACAUCAUCUUUAAUGUCUCGCUAUCCAACAGCUUCCACAUUCAGUGAGUUCCCGAGACCUGAAUAUCUGGCUGUGAAGAGCCCUCCUCUUCAUAGUCCUACAAUUUCUGUCCAGUUCAGGCCCUUGUCCCCCUCACAUGGGCUCUUGCCACCACACCCAGCAUGCGCACCAACCUCCCCUCCUUUCUCUCCCAGCUCUGACACAAAGUGUCACUACCAGAUCAUCACACUCACCCACAGCUCCAGCCAGCCUCUCCCUUCUACAGAAACUUAAAUGGUUUUCUUUUGCCAGCUGAGCAAACAAUUGCCAUUCGGGACCCCCGUGAUAUAACCUCAACCUAACUUCCCUCCUGCACCCACUCCUUACACUUCAACCAAACUCAGUGUCCUUCACACACAGGCCAGCUUUUCUCAUCUGUCUCCAUACUCUUCACAUUCUGUCUGGAAUGUGCAUAGCUCCCAUGCCUGCCUAUAAAAACUCUACCUCUUCAUUAAGGCCCAGUUCAAAUGAUACUUUCACCUUGAAACUUCCCAGGAGAUCCCACUAAGGAUCAAUUUCUCAUUUAUUUAUUCAGCCAACAAAUAUUUAUUGAGCACCAACUAUGUGCCAGAUUCUGUUCCAGGCCCUGAGAAUUCAAUGGCAAAUAGGAGGGAUGCGUUCCUACUCACAGGGAGCUUGCUGUUGGUGGGUGACAGAACAAAAGAAAACAAACAAACAAAUAAAUGGUAGAUCCCAGUAAGGGCAAUGGAGGCACUCUUGGAGUGGUUGGCCUUUAUUAUAGUCUACUUGUAACAUGCCUUUUUGCAAUCAAAUACUACCUCGUACACCCUCUGAGGGAAGAAUCUGAGUCUCAUUUAUCUGUGUGACUUCCACAGUGCCUGACAUCACCCCAUCCGUGUAAUACCCCUUCAGAGUGCAUUUGUGGAAGGAAGGGAAGAAGAAAGGAAGGAAGGAAGGAAGGGAUGGAGGGAGGGAAGCAAGAAAGAAAGAGAAGGAUUUGAAAAACAUUUAAACAAAUACUCCAGGUCAGCAGUGAAGCACCUAUUAGUAUCUUAUCAAAUUAAAAAACGAAAGGAAAUUCUCCUUUUGCAUUUGUCAAAGGUUGUCAACUUUGCAAUCCCUAGAGGUGGCUUUCAGUGUAAGAGCCUCGCUGGAGAUAGGAAAGGCAACAUGGGGCAGGGGUAGGGCACUACACGGAUCUGGGAUUUAGUCCCUGCCCUGCCACAUCAUGGUUGAGAGGUUUUGACAAGUUCCUGAAUCUCUCUGAGUCUUAAUGUCCUCAUCUGUAAAAUGGGGAUCAUAAAACCUGUCUCACAGACUUGGAAAACUAAAUGACAAAUUCAGCACACCAAAAUCAUAAAAUUAAUUCAGGAGUAUCCUAGGUACUUAUACUGGCUUUGUUUGGAGGAUACGAAAGUAGGCUAUCUGCCUCCAGAAGCAGAAAUCCUUUGGAUGUAGGAAUAUUUAAAAAUAUUAUUUUUAAAUCUCUUGUUCUGGAUUCUUAAGGAAGAAAGAAUCCUGGGCUCUCAAGAUAACCUCAGGUUGCCUGAGAAGCAACUGGGUCCUUUCUUGCUCUCCCCUAAAACAUGUCCUCCCAGAGUUGCCCUCCUUCCAACCAGUAGAAUUUGUUGCUUCAAGCACAGGAGUCAUACAAUUGCCUUCCCUAAAAGGCAUGCUCUGCUGCCUCCUGCUCCUAGAAAAUAUGGCAUACGAUGAAGUCAUCUAUUGCCCUUGGCUAUGUUUUGCUAGUGCCAGUGUGUGAAAUGUGGCUUACCCAUAUGUGCCUUACUCCCCAGACACAGAUUGCAAAGACCCUGCAAAGGUCUCCCUUAGCCCACUGCCCUAUUCCAAUACUGUCUCAGACUCAACUUUACAUCUUCUGUGCCUUCUAGAAUUCACUCAUCUCUGUACUCCCUAUGUCAGAUUUCCAUGGGUUUAGAAUGGUAGCAAAUGAUUUAGCCUCCAGAUGUUUCAUCCAGAAUUAAGCCUCUAGAAACACAUUAUCACUCCAACAUGAUGUGCUUUCAAUAGAGUAAGGACUAUGCUGGUGACCACUAGGAAAUACAUUCACCCCUUGCUUGUCCAAAGUGUGUCAGGAUAGGCUCCAGAGUUUUGGCAAAAGUUCCUUGCAGCAUCUUGAGCUGUUAUUCUGUUUUAAAAUUAAGUCCACUGAAAAUGGCUCUUGGCAAUCAAAAUCUGCUUCUCUGACGAAGACAGCAUAUACGCAGUUUCUUGGACAGAUAACCCUCUGGAUAUUUGAUGAGUGUUCACUGAAUUAAAGAAGGGAGAGUUACUCAAAUAUAAGCAAUCUUUCAUCAGCACGUUCCUCACUCGAGUGUUCCUGGAAUAUCACCCCUCAUCCCUCAUUCCUCCUGACCAUCUCAAUUAACCAGAACCCCAGUGGUUAUGUUUCCCAGUUUCUUGGUUUCUCUUCCUUCCUUAACACACACAUGAUUUUUGUUUUAAUUGGUGGGAUUGAGAGGAGUAGGUGGUCUCUGAGAUAAACGCUUCUUUAAACCUUUCCUAUGGUGCUGAUAUCAGACAAAUGUUUUAAUGAAGUUGCAGGGAAUUGGAGAGAAUAGAAUGGAAUACUCUGGCAACUUUCAUUCUUGCCUGAGAGUCCCCUUGCCCCUCCACUCCCACCUUUCACCACUUACUUCAAACAUGGUGGAAUAGCUCACACUCAUGGUAAAAGAGAUAAUCACAAAAGGAAAAGAAGCAUCUGGAAAGCAGGUAUCGAAGGAGUGGCAAAGCCUUCUCUGGUGUGGGUGAACUGAACUCUCGAUUUUAUGAAGGUUAACUGGAGCUGGAGCUGAAGAGCUGUGAGUUCCUGCUCCCACUGGAAACCUUUUCCAGCGAGGCCUGGAGCUGCUGUCCUUGGGUGAAAUUGCUCAUGGGCUCGCUUUCUAUUUGGGGGACUCAGAAUUUCACUCUGUCACCAUCUGGGGACUUAAGGGCAGAGUCAGGGGAGAGUCAGUGGGAACCUCUGCUGGCAGGGGCCUUCCACUGAGGGCCCGGUCCUGUGGCAUGGUUCUGCUCGUUAGUACAUAUGAAGCCAUCUCAAUUCUCUAAGGCAGUUUUCCCAUCUGUAAAAAUGGGAUCAAUAAUACACUUCAUAUGGUUGUGGUUGAGUCAACUAUGUGAAAUGUAUUUGAAAGCACAUUGUAUUGAAAGUGUAGUACAAAUGUUAGUUACUGUCAUCAUAGAGAUGACACAUAUAAAAACAUAUAAUUUUUUGAACUUUAUAUUAAAAAUUAACAGACAGUAAAACCGAUUGGUUUGUAUGUGAACAGUUCUAUGAAAUGUAAUACAUGUAUAGAUUUGCAUAACCAUGACCACAAUAAAAACAGAAGUUUUGUUGACCUAUUCAUUCAUUUAAUAACACUUAUUCAUGAUGUAUUAUUAUUUCAUAUAUUAUUGUUGUAUAUAGUUUAUAUUGCUGGAUUCAAUUUUCUGUGUGUGUGUGCGUGUAACAACAUUCAAUAUGAGACCUACCCUCUUAACAAAUUUGAAGUAUAUAAUACAGUAUUGUUAACUAUAGGCACAAUGUUGUAUAUCAGAGCUCUAGAAUUUAUUCAUCCUGUAUAGUUAAAACUUUAUACUCAUUGAAUAGCAACUUCUAUUUCCCUUGAGGGAUAUUGUUUUAAAUUUUCUUUCUUUGUACUGUCUUUGUCUGGUGUCAGGGUAAUGCUGGUUUCAUAAAACAAGCUGAGAAAUAUUCCUUUCUUUUUUCUGGGAAGAUCACUGUUAUUUCUUGUUGAAACCUUUGCCAGAAUUCAUCAGUGAGACCAUCGGAACCUAGAGGUGUCUUUUUCAAAGGAUUUUUAACUCUGAAUUCAAUGUCUUUAAUAAUUAUAAAACUAUUUAUAUUAUCUAUUUCAUGAAGGCUAGAUUCUGGUAGAUUGAACUUUUCAAGAACUUGGUGCAUUUUUAUCUAACUUGCAAGAUUUGUGUGUGUACAAUUUUUUGUAAUACUCAUUAUUAUUUGUUUUAAGUGUCUGUAGGGUCUGUAGUAAUACCCCUUCUUCCAUUUCUGAUACUGGCAAUUUGUAUCUUCUUUUUAAAAUAGAUGUUUACCAAUUAUAUUAAACAUUUUCAGUUUUAUUGA